UGUUAGGUUGGUAGCGAAGCGUUGUUAGAGCUUAGAGCUCUAGCAACGCUUCGCUAGCCAGAAAUUUC
rnacentral:misc_RNA from 1 species